rnacentral:tRNA from 10 species
GGGUCUAUAGCUCAGUUGGUUAGAGCACCGCCUUGAUAAGGCGGGGGUCAUAAGUUCAAGUCUUAUUAGACCCACCA